CCUACGGGAGGCAGCAGUAAGGAAUAUUGGUCAAUGGGCGCAAGCCUGAACCAGCCAUGCCGCGUGCAGGAUGACGGCCCUCUGGGUUGUAAACUGCUUUUAUACGGGAAGAACAGCAUCUACGUGUAGGUGUUUGACGGUACUGUAAGAAUAAGGACCGGCUAACUUCGUGCCAGCAGCCGCGGUAAUACGAAGGGUCCAAGCGUUAUCCGGAUUUAUUGGGUUUAAAGGGUGCGUAGGCGGUCUUUUUAAGUCAGUGGUGAAAGCCUGAUGCUCAACAUCAGAACUGCCAUUGAUACUGAAGAGCUUGAGUACAGUUGAGGUUGGCGGAAUGUGUCAUGUAGCGGUGAAAUGCUUAGAUAUGACACAGAACACCGAUUGCGAAGGCAGCUAGCUAAGCUGUUACUGACGCUGAUGCACGAAAGCGUGGGGAGCAAACAGGAUUAGAUACCCUGGUAGUCCACGCCCUAAACGUUGAUAACUCGUUGUUAGCGAUAUACUGUUAGCGACCAAGCGAAAGCAUUAAGUUAUCACCUGGAAGUACGGUCGCAGAUUGAACUCAAAUGAGUAGAGNGNGAGAGNGCGAGGACGACACGAGGGAGAG
rnacentral:rRNA from 1 species